AUUCUCAUUUCGUAAGAUCUUUGCCUCCCCUCUGCACCAGAAACCUUGAUACCUCCAACGUUCAUAAUGAAAGUUUUCCUGGUUGUCGUUCUUCUUGCUGUCGUUUGCAAUGCUGUCAGAGAUAAACGCUUUCUUCUGGAUACAGUUGAUCUCAUCGAGAACAACCACCUGACGACUGUUGUGUGCCAGUUCCUGCGCGAAGGUGCGGAAGACAACAGCUUGCCAGCGCCGCUGUACCCAGGCGUUGUCAGGAGACUCGGAGGACAUCGUUCAGCUGCGCCAUGACUGCCCCUCCAUGUGCAUGCACCUUCAAACUACUUAUCAGAUUCUCCAUUGUAGCAGAAUACACUUGUAACCCUUGGAUAAAGACUUGUCAACAGACAGACCUGGUUCCUAAAUUUGGCCUGCAAACGUACUAACGAAUAAGAUGUACGCGCUGUCACAUUGUGCACACCAAUACUUUUUGCUAUUUCUUACCAGCUUAUAGUAGCGUGUAAACAGUUCAAACAUUAAAACAAAAGUCAAACAAA